AUCUUCUCCUUCGGGAGAAGGUUAGCGGCGGACGGGUGAGUAACGCGUGGGUAACCUACCCAACAGACCGGGACAACACUUGGAAACGAGUGCUAAUACCGGAUACCCUGAGACUUUGGCAUCGGAGACUCAGGAAAGGUGGCCUCUAUAUAAAAGCUACCGUUGUAGGAUGGACCCGCGUCUGAUUAGCUAGUUGGUGGGGUUUUUUCCUACCAAGGCAGCAAUCAGUAGCCGGCCUGAGAGGCUGAACGGCCACACUGGNAUCCAUACAUCUCCCAGGAGCCUACGGGAGGCNNUCA
rnacentral:misc_RNA from 1 species